AAAACCACAGUAGAGUUGCCAAAUAAGUAUAUAAAUAACUUACAGUUUAGGUACCAGGAGAACCAAUUUAAGGCUUAAGGCAACUAACCUCUAAUUCUCUUGGUCUUAUGAGUAGACUUUGCUCGUUUCUUCACUGAUACUGUGUUUUUCUAUCAGUCACACAGAACCUCACAAAUGCAUUACUCUCCUUUAUAUAACAUGAAAUAAACAUCUCUAAGAAAAAUAAAGGAAAUGUGAUAGUUUUAACUGUCAAGUUGGCACAAUCUAGAAUCACUUCAGAGAAGUAUAAAUAGGAGGCAUUAGAGAUCAGCUUUGCCUCUGGGAGAUGAUAUUGACUAUUUAAGGAAUGAGUGCCCCACUGUGGGUGGCAGCAUUCCCUAGGCAGGAGAUCUUUAAGUGUUUAAGAGUAGAGACAGAUGACCACUGGCAUUCAUGAGUUAAUUCAUUGCUCCUAAGUCUUAAUAGUGGAUCUAAUAGAAUUAGUGGCUUCAAGUUUCUGCCUUGACUUCCCUGAAAUGGUGGAUUAUAAACUUGAACUGUGAGCCAAGCAAACCCUUUUCUCCUCUAUGUUUCUCUUUCUCAAGAUAUUUUAUCCCAGCCAUGGGCAAAAGUAAGAAUAGGUAUUUGGGCAAUAAAUAACAUUAUUUUACUUAUGUUUUCAGAGAAUCCAACAUUGUGUUUUAGUACAUUUAUAGAUUGCCAUUAUACUUAAAAUACUCUUUGAAAAUUACGACCAUGUAUGUCAGGCAUUUUUUUUAAUAUUCUAUGAUUCUUUCCUUUCUCCCCUUCCCCUCAUUUUAUUAAAAUAAUAUUCUUUUCUCGUCCAUUAUAUCCUGAUUACUGUUUCCCCUCCUUUUAUUCCUCCUAGUUCUUGCCCACCUCCCCUCCCAUCUGAAUCUACCCUCUUUCAGUCUCUCAUUACAAAGAACAGGCUUCUAAGAGAUAACAACAAAACAUAACAAAAUAAAAUAUAAAUUAAAGCAAACACAGUCUCAUCAAAGUUGGAGAAGCCAAACCAACAGAAGGAAGAGAACACCAAGAGAAGUCACAAAGAUCAGAGACCCAUUUAUUCACACACUCACGUGUCCCAUAGUAAUACUAAACUAAAAGCUAUAAAAUGAAUGUCCAGGGCCUGGUGCAUACCCAUUUAGGUUCUGUGCUUGCUGCUUCAAUCUCUGUGAGUUUAUAUGAGCUAUGUUUAUUGUAUUCAGAGGGUUUUUUUCUCCUGGUUUCCCUCAUCUCUGCCUUCUACACUCACUCUGCCUCAUUUUCCACUAAAACACCCUACCAUACUGCCAUUUACACAGGAUCUGUUCUUGAUACAUGCUUGCUAAUUUGAAUAAAAGUGAAUACCUGAAGAUAUUCCCUUAUCAACCUGCCAACAUUUUUUUCUAUGUAGGAACAAGCAUCCAAUACUGGUGCUAGUGCCCCAACAUAGGUGUUGAUGGUAUUUGUUUGGAUCCAGGAAUGGCUGCCUUCAGCAAACAUUCAUGGGUGAUUUUAUUAGCCAUCAUUGGGAAGCACUGUUUAUGUCAUGAGUGCAUCUCCUGUUUAAAUCUAAGUAGUUAGAUCUUUAUGUGGGGAAAGACUAAAAGGAAUAGGGAUUCUCUGACCAACUAAAAUAAACAGCAUAUAUAAUUCACUACUUUUUUUGGCUAAAUCACAGUAAUAUGACAGUGUUUUUAAUCCAAUUGGAACAAUUUCUACAUUCUGUAAAGCAGAUUUCUGCCUACACUUCAGGGUCCUUUUCCACAUUCUCUGUUUCUCCUUACCAAGUGAGCUACUGUGUAGAACAGCAGACACAAGUAGGGGUAGCUAACACAGCAAAAUGCCCUGUGUACUGCAUUCUGUAGCAAUCAAAAUAAGAAAGUGGGAAUUUAAUAAAAAUCUUUAAUUUGUUGUUUUAAGGAAUUAAUGUUUGCUGUAAUUUUUUUCCUCUUUCAUGGUAACAUCUGAUUUUAAAUAUCCAUUUAAUCAUUCUGUAACUAAGACUGAAUUAUACUGGAACUUUCUCAGAAGCAUUUGUGGCACGAAUUUGAAUGCAAAGUAUAUUCAUUAUAGUCAUUUCAAUUAAAAUGAAUAUCAAAUGAGGCUGUAAUAGCUAUGCACUUAAAUGUUAUUUUUGUUUUAAGAGGCUUACUCUCCAGAUGUCACUUGGGGCUCUGUAACUUCUAAAACACAUAGAACUAAGAAUUAAAAGGCACAUGGAGCUUGUGAAUGUAUACAGACAAGUAUUUGCUUGUGCCAUACCAUUAGCUAGCAACUGUAGAUUUAUUCAUUCAGUAUUGGUUUCUUACAACUUUUAUAAGGAGGGUAACGUGUGGCUUAUGGUAUUAUCUCCAUUGUUGUUACAAAAUUUGAAUCACUUUAAAAAUAAUGCUUUGGAGACUAAGGAGAUAACUCAGUUAGUAAAGGGCUUGUCAUACAGGCAUAAGGAUCUGUGACCUGUGUUUGAUCCCCAGAAACCCCUCCCCCAAAAAAAUAACC
rnacentral:lncRNA from 1 species